UACGGAGGGUGCAAGCGUUAUUCGGAUUCACUGGGUUUAAAGGGUGCGUAGGUGGGCAGGUAAGUCAGUGGUGAAAUCUCCGGGCUUAACCCGGAACUGCCGUUGAUACUAUUUGUCUUGAAUAUUGUGGAGGUGAGCGGAAUAUGUCAUGUAGCGGUGAAAUGCUUAGAUAUGACAUAGAACACCAAUUGCGAAGGCAGCUCACUACACAAUCAUUGACGCUGAGGCACGAAAGCGUGGGGAGUCAAACAGGA
rnacentral:rRNA from 1 species